UACGGGGGGGGCAAGCGUUGUUCGGAAUUACUGGGCGUAAAGGGCUCGUAGGCGGCCAACUAAGUCAGACGUGAAAUCCCUCGGCUUAACCGGGGAACUGCGUCUGAUACUGGAUGGCUUGAGUUUGGGAGAGGGAUGCGGAAUUCCAGGUGUAGCGGUGAAAUGCGUAGAUAUCUGGAGGAACACCGGUGGCGAAGGCGGCAUCCUGGACCAACACUGACGCUGAGUGAGCGAAAGCCAGGGGAGUAAACGGG
rnacentral:rRNA from 1 species